UACGUAGGGUCCGAGCGUUGUCCGGAAUUACUGGGCGUAAAGAGCUCGUAGGUGGUUUGUCGCGUUGUUCGUGAAAACUCACAGCUCAACUGUGGGCGUGCGGGCGAUACGGGCAGACUAGAGUACUGCAGGGGAGACUGGAAUUCCUGGUGUAGCGGUGGAAUGCGCAGAUAUCAGGAGGAACACCAAUUGCGAAGGCAGCUCGCUGGGCCUUACCUGACGCUGGAGGAGCGAAAGCGUGGGGAGCGAACAGG
rnacentral:rRNA from 1 species